rnacentral:lncRNA from 1 species
GGGAGAUGGGAGCUAAACUUUAGUCCUAUCACAUCGGAUAUUUAGAUGCUAAUUAGGAGGACUGAAUAUGAGCUAAUUACAAAACUAAUAGCAGAACCCAUAGGUUAAAUCAUGAGACGAAUCUAUUGAGCCUAAUUAAUCCAUCAUUAGCGAAUGGUUACUGUAGCACCACAUUGUCAAAUCAUGAACUAAUUAGGCUUAAUAGAUUCAUCUCGCGAUUUAGUCUAGAGGUUGUGUAAUUAAUUUUAUAAUUAGUCUAGAUUUAAUACUCCUAAUUAGUGUCCAAACAUUCGACGUGGCGGGGACUAUCCAAAGCACCAAUUUCAUUCUAUCGCUAUCGGCAUUCGGCACUGUUGUGAUUUGUGAAAAAUCUGACAGCGACUGCUUUCUUGAGGCAUUCCAUUUUAUUACAUUAGGGUACAUAAGGUUAUUCCUUUAUCUCAAUCAACUCGGCAGCCCCUUGUUCAACUGUUGCAGUGUAUUUUAUUAAGGCAAGUAGUAGUAGUAGUAGUUCCAAUAUGGUAUCUUCAAUUUAUUGUUUCUAGAAUGUUCCAAUAUGAUCUUCAGGACCAUCUUAUUCAUACGAUGGGCUGAAAGCUUUGAUGCUCCAACAACCGAGAGAGAAUCGUUCAAGCA